rnacentral:rRNA from 1 species
UCAAGCUACAAAGGGCGCAUGGUGAAUGCCUUGGCAUCAGGAGCCGAUGAAGGACGUGAUAAGCUGCGAUAAGCUUCGGGUAGGCGCACAUAGCCAGUGAUCCGGAGAUUUCCGAAUGUGGGAACACACAUGGGAAACCCCAUGUAUCGUAUAGUGAAUACAUAGCUAUACGAGGGUAAACCUAGGGAACUGAAACAUCUAAGUACCUAGAGGAAGAGAAAGAAAAAUCGAUUUCCUAAGUAGCGGCGAGCGAAAGGGAAAGAGCCCAAACCAAAGAUUUAUCUUUGGGGUUGCGGACAGAGCAUUAACGAGAAGUCGUAACUAACCGAACACAACUGGAAAGUUGGACCGUAGGAGGUAAUAGUCCUGUAGGUGAAAGUUAAGAUAAUCAAGCUCUGAUCCAGAGUACCACGAGACACGUGAAACCUUGUGGGAAGCAGGGAGGACCACCUCCCAAGGCUAAAUACUACCUGAUGACCGAUAGUGAAGCAGUACCGUGAGGGAAAGGUGAAAAGAACCCCGGGAGGGGAGUGAAAUAGAACCUGAAACCGUGUGCCUACAACCGGUCAAAGCCCCAUAUGAGGGUGAUGACGUGCUUUUUGUAGAACGAGCCAACGAGUUACGGUAUGUAGCAAGGUUAAGUACUUAAGGUACGGAGCCGAAGGGAAACCGAGUCUUAAUAGGGCGACUAGUUGCAUGCCGUAGACCCGAAACCGGGUGACCUAUCCAUGGCCAGGUUGAAGCGAGGGUAAAACUUCGUGGAGGACCGAACCACGUUGCUGUUGAAAAAGCAUGGGAUGAGCUGUGGAUAGCGGAGAAAUUCCAAUCGAACUUGGAGAUAGCUGGUUCUCCCCGAAAUAGCUUUAGGGCUAGCGUCGGAUAUGUGUAGUGGAGGUAGAGCACUGAAUGGGCUAGGGGGCAUAUCGCUUACCGAACCUUAUCAAACUCCGAAUGCCAUAUACAUUUAGUCCGGCAGUCAGACUACGAAUGAUAAGAUCCGUGGUCAAAAGGGAAACAGCCCAGAUCGUCAGCUAAGGUCCCAAAGUGUAAGUUAAGUGGAAAAGGAUGUGGGAUUUCUAAGACAACUAGGAUGUUGGCUUAGAAGCAGCCACUCAUUUAAAGAGUGCGUAAUAGCUCACUAGUCGAGAGAUCCUGCGCCGAAAAUGUCCGGGGCUCAAACUUACCACCGAAGCUACGGGCUUGCGUAAGCAAGCGGUAGGGGAGCGUCGUAAUCGGGCUGAAGUCGUACCGUAAGGAGCGGUGGACUGAUUACGAGUGAGAAUGUUGGCAUUAGUAGCGAGAUGUAGGUGAGAAUCCUACAGGCCGAAUAUCUAAGGUUUCCUCAGGAAGGCUCGUCCGCUGAGGGUUAGUCGGGACCUAAGCCGAGGCCGAAAGGCGUAGGCGAUGGACAAUCGGUUGAUAUUCCGAUACCACUACCAUCGUUAUUAUCGAGGGUGUGACGGAGAAGGAUAGUGUGUGCUAGCGAUUGGAAAUGCUAGUCUAAGCGUUUAGGGAGUUACGGUAGGCAAAUCCGCUGUAACAAUUCUGAGGCGUGAUGGGGAAGGCCAUAUAGGCCGAAGUACAUGAUUCCAUGCUUCCAAGAAAAGCAUCUAGAGAGAGAAGUAGUGCCCGUACCGCAAACCGACACAGGUAGAUGAGGAGAGAAUCCUAAGGCCGGCGGAAGAAUUGCAGUUAAGGAACUAGGCAAAUUGACCCCGUAAGUUCGCGAGAAGGGGUGCCUGCGAGAGCAGGCCGCAGAGAAUAGGCCCAAGCAACUGUUUAGCAAAAACACAGGUCUCUGCUAAAGCGUAAGCUGAUGUAUAGGGGCUGACGCCUGCCCGGUGCUGGAAGGUUAAGGGGAACACUUAGCGCAAGCGAAGGUGUGAACUUAAGCCCCAGUAAACGGCGGCCGUAACUAUAACGGUCCUAAGGUAGCGAAAUUCCUUGUCGGGU